CUUGCCGUUGUUUUUGAUUAAAAUUACACAUGUAAGUAUCCGCACACCAGUGAAAAUGCCCUAAAACAUAAAUGGAGCAGGUAUCAGGCACGAAUCUUCAGCCCAAAACGCCUUGCUACGCCACACCCCCACGGGACUUCAACAGUGAUAAACAUUAAGCCAUAAGCGAAAAGACAAAUAAAGCUUGACUUAGUUAUAAUCAGCUAAGGGUCGGCCAAUCUCGUGCCAGCCGCCGCGGUUAUACGAGAGACCCAAAUCAACGACAAACAGCGUAAAUUGUGGCUAGAAUACCAAGCUAACAACUAAGAAAUAAACUACACCUAACCGUAAAACACAGGUAAAAAGAAAUCUCUUACCCAAAGCAAUUUGAACCCACGAAAACUAAGAAACAAACUAGGAUUAGAUACCCUACUAUGCUUAGAUGUAAAUAAGACACCAAUCAACAGAAAUGUCCGCUAGAGAACUACAAGCGAAAAGCUUAAAACUCAAAAGACUUGGCGGUGUCCCAAAUCCGACUUAGAGGAGCCUGUCCUAUAAUCGAUAAUCCACGAUAAACCCCACCACCUCUUGCCAACCCGCCUAUAUACCGCCGUCGCAAAUCUACCUUACAAAAGAACAAAAGUAGGUAAAAUAGUCUAAACCACUAAAACGUCAGGUCAAGGUGUAGCUUAUGAGAUGGAAGAGAUGGGCUACAUUCUUUAACUUAAAGCAAACAGGAAAAACCCUGAAAUAAGUUUCAAAAGGAGGAUUUAACAGUAAAACUAGCAAGAAAGCUAGCUUUAAACUCGCUCUGGGACGCGCACACACCGCCCGUCACC
rnacentral:ncRNA from 1 species